rnacentral:rRNA from 1 species
AGGUGUGGGACCAUCCACGGUUUCGCGCCGCAGUAACGCUUAAGUGCCCCGCUGGGGAGUACGGCGCAAGGUAAAAUCAAAGGAAUUGACGGGGGCCCGCACAAGCGGCGGAGCUGCGGAUAAUUCGAUGCAACGCGAAGAACCUUACCAAGGCUUGACAUGUUCUCGAUCGCCGUAGAGAUACGGUUUCCCCUUUGGGGCGGGUUCACAGGUGGUGCAUGGUGUCGUCAGCUCGUGUCGUGAGAUGUUGGGUUAAGUCCCGCAACGAGCGCAACCCUCGUUCCAUGUUGCCAGCACGUCGUGGUGGGGACUCAUGGGAGACUGCCGGGGUCAACUCGGAGGAAGGUGAGGACGACGUCAAAUCAUCAUGCCCCUUAUGUCUUGGGCUUCACGCAUGCUACAAUGGCCGGUACAAUGGGUUGCGAUACUGUGAGGUGGAGCUAAUCCCAAAAAGCCGGUCUCAGUUCGGAUUGGGGUCUGCAACUCGACCCCAUGAAGUGGGAGUCGCUUGUAAUCGCAGAUCAGCAACGCUGCGGUGAAUACGUUCCCGGGCCUUGUACACACCGCCCGUCAAGUCACGAAAGUUGGUAACACCCGAAGCCGGUGGCCUAACCCUUGUGGGGGGAGCCGUCGAAGGUGGGACCAGCGAUUGGAC